CCUACGGGAGGCAGCAGUGGGGAAUAUUGGGCAAUGGGCGCAAGCCUGACCCAGCAACGCCGCGUGAAGGAAGAAGGCUCUCGGGUGGUAAACUUCUUUUUUUAGGGACGAAGCAUGUGACGGUACCUGAGGAUUAAGCCACGGCUAACUACGUGCCAGCAGCCGCGGUAAUACGUAGGUGGCAAGCGUUAUCCGGAUUUACUGGGUGUAAAGGGCGAGUAGGCGGGAAAGCAAGUCAGAUGUGAAAACCAUAGGCUCAACCUGUGGCCUGCAUUUGAAACUGUUUUUCUUGAGUACGGGAGAGGCAGACGGAAUUCCUAGUGUAGCGGUGAAAUGCGUAGAUAUUAGGAGGAACACCAGUGGCGAAGGCGGUCUGCUGGACAGCAACUGACACUGAGGCGCGAAAGCGUGGGGAGCGAACAGGAUUAGAUACCCCAGUAGUC
rnacentral:rRNA from 1 species